rnacentral:rRNA from 1 species
AUUGAACGCUGGCGGCAUGCUUUACACAUGCAAGUCGAACGGUAACAGGUUAAGCUGACGAGUGGCGAACGGGUGAGUAAUGCAUCGGAACGUGCCCGGUCGUGGGGGAUAACGCAGCGAAAGCUGCGCUAAUACCGCAUACGAUCUGAGGAUGAAAGCGGGGGACCGUAAGGCCUCGCGCGAUCGGAGCGGCCGAUGUCAGAUUAGGUAGUUGGUGGGGUAAAGGCUCACCAAGCCAACGAUCUGUAGCUGGUCUGAGAGGACGACCAGCCACACUGGGACUGAGACACGGCCCAGACUCCUACGGGAGGCAGCAGUGGGGAAUUUUGGACAAUGGGCGAAAGCCUGAUCCAGCAAUGCCGCGCGCAGGAAGAAGGCCUUCGGGUUGUAAACUGCUUUUGUACGGAGCGAAGAGGCCUCCUCUAAUACAGGGGGCUCAUGACGGUACCGUAAGAAUAAGCACCGGCUAACUACGUGCCAGCAGCCGCCGUAA